GAUGAACGCUGGCGGCGUGCUUAACACAUGCAAGUCGAACGGUGAACACGGAGCUUGCUCUGUGGGAUCAGUGGCGAACGGGUGAGUAACACGUGAGCAACCUGCCCCUGACUCUGGGAUAAGCGCUGGAAACGGCGUCUAAUACUGGAUAUGUGACGUGACCGCAUGGUCUGCGUUUGGAAAGAUUUUUCGGUUGGGGAUGGGCUCGCGGCCUAUCAGCUUGUUGGUGAGGUAAUGGCUCACCAAGGCGUCGACGGGUAGCCGGCCUGAGAGGGUGACCGGCCACACUGGGAUUGAGACACGGCCCAGACGCCUACGGGAGGCAGCAGUGGGGAAUAUUGCACAAUGGGCGAAAGCCUGAUGCAGCAACGCCGCGUGAGGGAUGACGGCCUUCGGGUUGUAAACCUUUUUUAGCAGGGAAGAAGCGAAAGUGACGGUACCUGCAGAAAAAGCGCCGGCUAACUACGUG
rnacentral:rRNA from 1 species